rnacentral:rRNA from 1 species
UACGUAGGGUGCGAGCGUUAAUCGGAUUUACUGGGCGUAAAGCGUGCGCAGGCGGCCCGUUAAGACAGGUGUGAAAUCCCUGGGCUCAACCUAGGAAUUGCGCUUGUGACUGGCGGGCUCGAGUACGGUAGAGGGGGGUGGAAUUCCCGGUGUAGGGGUGAAAUCCGUAGAUAUCGGGAGGAACACCAGAGGCGAAGGCAGCCCCCUGGGCCUGUACUGACGCUCAUGCACGAAAGCGUGGGGAGCAAACAGG